CUGCCCGAAAACAAGGAGCUGGUAUCAGGCACACCCAUAUAUUAAGCCCAUGACGCCUUGCUUAGCCACACCCUCAAGGGAACUCAGCAGUGAUAAACCUUAAGCCAUAAGCGCAAGCUUGACUUAGUUAAGGCUAAGAGGGCCGGUAAAACUCGUGCCAGCCACCGCGGUUAUACGAGAGGCCCAAGUUGACAACCACCGGCGUAAAGCGUGGUUAAGAUAUAAUCAAAACUAAAGCCGAAUGUCUUCAAGGCAGUCAUACGCUUCCGAAGACACGAAGCCCCACCACGAAAGUGGCUUUAACAAUCCCUGAACCCACGAAAGCUAGGACACAAACUGGGAUUAGAUACCCCACUAUGCCUAGCCGUAAACAUUGAUAGAAUUGUACACCCUCUAUCCGCCUGGGUACUACGAGCAUUAGCUUAAAACCCAAAGGACUUGGCGGUACUUUAGAUCCCCCUAGAGGAGCCUGUUCUGUAACCGAUAACCCCCGUUCAACCUCACCCUCCCUUGUUUUUCCC
rnacentral:rRNA from 1 species